GACGAACGCUGGCGGCGUGCCUAAUACAUGCAAGUCGAGCGGACAGAAGGGAGCUUGCUCCCGGAAGUCAGCGGCGGACGGGUGAGUAACACGUGGGCAACCUGCCUGUAAGACUGGGAUAACUUCGGGAAACCGGAGCUAAUACCGGAUAGGUUCUUCCUCCGCAUGGGGGAAGAUGGAAAGACGGUUUCGGCUGUCGCUUACAGAUGGGCCCGCGGCGCAUUAGCUAGUUGGUGGGGUAAUGGCCCACCAAGGCGACGAUGCGUAGCCGACCUGAGAGGGUGAUCGGCCACACUGGGACUGAGACACGGCCCAGACUCCUACGGGAGGCAGCAGUAGGGAAUCUUCCGCAAUGGACGAAAGUCUGACGGAGCAACGCCGCGUGAGCGAAGAAGGCCUUCGGGUCGUAAAGCUCUGUUGUCAGGGAAGAACAAGUGCCAGAGUAACUGCUGGCACCUUGACGGUACCUGACCAGAAAGCCACGGCUAACUACGUGCCAGCCGCCGCAGUAACAC
rnacentral:rRNA from 1 species